GACGAACGCUGGCGGCGUGCUUAACACAUGCAAGUCGAACGGAAAGGCCCUGCUUGCUUGGUACUCGAGUGGCGAACUGGUGGGUAAGACGUGGGUUCUCUGCCCUCUACUUUUUCGUAAGCCUUGGCAACUGGGUCCAUUAGCUGAUAUCACCAACUAUCUCCUGGUGGUUGCAGGAGAGCUUUUGCGGUUGCGCGUGGGCCCGCGGCCUAUCCGCUUUAUGGAGGGGGAGUGGUCUACCCAGGCAAAGACGGGUAGCCGACCUGAGAGGGGGAACAGCGACAAUGGGACUGAGAGACGGCCCAGACGCCUACGGGAGGCAGCAGUGGGGAAUAUUGCACAAUGGGCGCAAGCCUGAUGCAGAGACGCCGGGUGAGGGAUGACGGCCUUCGGGGUGUAAACCGCUUUCACCAGGGACGAAGCGUGAGUGACGGUACCUGGAGAAGAAGCACCGGCCAACUACGUG
rnacentral:rRNA from 1 species